CCGGCUGGGGCCGCUCUGGGGUCCCUCCCACCGUACCCAAAGCCUACCAGCCCCAGUUUUAGACACUGCCGGGUCCUCCCACCCCGCUCCACGCGCCCUGCCGCGCGGAGCUCCUUCAGUCCCAGAGCCUCAGCCCGGACCCCGGCCCUGCUGCUGGCGCUUUGCUGGGGAGGAGGCGUUUGGAUUCCGGGUCGUCUCUGGGCGGUCCCACCGAAUGUCCCAAAUUGUCCCGCCCCAACCCCUAGCCUUUCUGUAGUCCCGUUGUUAGAGGAUUCCCAUUUCUGCUGUCUGCUGGACAGCCCCUGGAGCUUUCAAGGGUACCUCACACCCACACAGCCAACGUGGAACUCAACAUCCCGCAAGCAGCCGCUUUUCUCCUGGGUGCUCAGUUUGUAAGGGGAUACCACCAUCCACUCAGGUCAUCAGUGGCAGAGGAGUGUGGUGAUGCUGUUGGAGACUCUCCUUCCCUCUUGAUGGAAGCAGACAACAGGAGGGACUGGAAGAAGAAAAAGGACAUGUCGCCUCAGGCCAAAUGAGACCUCCAGUCGAAAACCAUGAUUGGUGCCUCUGCUGAGUGUGGGACAGGAAGAGUUAACAUGCUGACAGAUGGCAUUUUUUACCUUCAGUCAAUAUGAACAAGGCCCCAAGACUAUGAUUCCAAACAUCUGGAUUUCAUCAAUAUGUGAUCUGUCAUCGUAUAUUGGCAUUCCCCAGUCCCUGCGCCAGAGCAAUGCGGCUGGUUUUAUUAAUACGUCAAAUACAUUAUCCGUGUAAUACACUUGUCUGGCUGGGGCCUCCCGCUGGGGCGGGGCGGCGGAUUUGAAUGUAUGAUGAAUCAGUUUGCAUUACAUGUUCGUAAGUCAUCAUUUGUCAGGAUUAAUAGGCAUCCCUGGUCGAGGAGGUGGGGGUGGGGCAGGCAGAGGAGAGACGUGUAUUUAGCUACGGCCCAUAUUUAUCUGCCAGUACCCAGAUGCCCUGAAAACCACUGUAUACCCUCCUGCCCAGACUCCAGGGCAAUGGCUGGUGCUUGGGGGGCAGAGGUGACAUUUUCAGCAGUUCCUGAGUCACCUGGAACCAAAUAGGCCUAUUUGUCUUUGCUUUGGGCUUGCCAAACAACCAAAAAGGUUAUGGCAGGGGCCACUUGCUCAAGCUGGCUCUUACUCUCACUCUUAAGGACUCAGAACUCCUUCCUCUGGGGAGCUUUCCCCGACUCCUCCAGACUAUACUAGGUGCCUUCUCUGUGUUCCCAAAGCCUCUUGUGCCACCUCUAGUGACACCAUGUUACAAUCGCCUAUUCUGUGUCUGUCCCCCUCUUUAGACUGUAAAUUUCUUUAAAAAAAUUGUUUUUAAUGUCUAUUUAUUUUUGAGAGAGAGAGAGAGACAGAGAGACAGAGAGACAGAGUGCGAGCAGGGGAGGGGCAGAGAGAGAGGGAGACACAGAAUCUGAAGCAUGCUCUAGGUUCCGAACUGUUAGCACAGAGCCCCAUGUGGGGCUCAAACUCAUGAACUGUGGAGCUGAAGUUGGAUGCUUAACGAACUGAGCCACCCAGGCACCCCUAGACUGUGGCAUCUGGCAGAGGACAUAGCCCAAAGUAAGAAAAUCAUAAUAGUAAUAGUAGAAAUCAAUAAAUAUUCUUUGAAUGAACAAA